CGGACGGGUGAGUAAUGUCUGGGAGACUGCCCGAUGGAGGGGGAUAACUACUGGAAACGGUAGCUAAUACCGCAUAACGUCGCAAGACCAAAGAGGGGGACCUUCGGGCCUCUUGCCAUCGGAUGUGCCCAGAUGGGAUUAGCUAGUAGGUGGGGUAACGGCUCACCUAGGCGACGAUCCCUAGCUGGUCUGAGAGGAUGACCAGCCACACUGGAACUGAGACACGGUCCAG
rnacentral:rRNA from 1 species